CCAAUGAUUUUAAUUGGUUUGGUUUUUAUCAAAAAUAUUAUAUUUUUUCUUUAUUUUAUUUAUCUGGUAAUUUUAAAUUUUGAAAUUUGAAUUGAAUUUAAUUAAAAGGUGAUGUAGUAACCACUUAUUUUUAUUUUAUUUCAUUUAUAUUCUCAAUAACUACUCAUAUUUUGGUAACUUACUAUAACUUCCAUAUCUAAGAAAUGAUCAAAACCCACAAUUUUAACUCAGCACGAAUAUUCAAUGGUGAUCUAAGCUUUUGCAGAACACUCAAGUUUGUCAAACAUUCAUUAAUUCAAUGUUUAGUGAAAAAAACUCUUCUCAGCACAGAAUUCCAUGUCCAUUACUUAGACUCUCUGAAAAAUUUCAUAAUUUUCAUACAUUCUUUGAGUUUGGUAAGUGAUUUCAUAUAAUUUCUUUUCAAGUUAAAUUUUAAUUUGGCUUCUGAUAUAGUCUCUUUGUUGAAUUUGUAUCUCUUAUGAUUCUUAGAUUUUGGGCUCCAACUUUUGAGGAUAUGAUAGUCACAUUUUAUGCUAUGCUCAGAUUGAUUUUUAUGAUUUUUUGUUCCCGUUAAGUGACUUAGAAUUUGACAAAAGUUUGAUAGGAAAUCUGUUUCACGAUUUUGUUUUAAUUGACCUUUUAGUGGAAAUAAGAUGCUUAUAACUUAAUGUGGAUGGUUUGUAAAAUCAUGAAAUUUGGAUAAUAUAAAUUUGUACGAGACUCUCCAUAAUAUUUCAUGAUUUUUCAUUAGCUCUGGGGUGUUACAGGUGCUACUUGUGACUGGUGUCAAAAAAGAAGUGAAAAAACUUACCAACCACCUUCAAGCCAUUCAAGCUGUGCUCGAGGAUGCAGAGGAAAAGCAAGCGACGGACAGAGCCGUCAGACUUUGGCUGGGUAGGCUCAAGUACGCAUCCUACGACAUUGAAGAUGUGUUGGAUGAGUGGAUCACAGCAAGAGGCAAAUUGCAAAUUAAGGGCAGCGUUUAUGACAAUGCUCUUGUUGCUCCUAAUCAGAAGAAGGAGGUAUGUUCCUGCUUUCCUGCCUCUUGCUUUGGUUUCAAACAAGUCAUUUUGCAUCGUGACGUAGCUGUCAAGAUCAAAGAAAUCAAUGAAGAGCUGGACGAUAUUGCCACUCAAAAAGACAUGUUUAAAUUUGUUGGGAGUGUCAGUAAAAGUAGUGAAAGACCAAGACGUGUACAGAGUACCUCCUUGAUUGAUGAGGAAGAGAUUUGCGGUAGAGUUGGUGAGAGGAAUGCACUCGUAAGCAUGCUGUUGUGUGAGAGCAGUGAGCAACAAAAAGGCCUUCAUAUCAUCUCAAUUGUUGGUAUGGGAGGCAUCGGGAAAACUACUCUUGCACAACUAGCUUGUAAUCAUGACGAGGUGAAGAGACAGUUCGACAAAAUUUUAUGGGUGUGUGUAUCAGAAACUUUUGACGAGUUUAGGAUUGCCAAAGCGAUGCUUGAAGCUUUGACUGGUUCAACUUCUAAUUUAGAUGCAUUGCAAUCUCUUCUUAUAAGUAUUGACGAAUCUAUUGCGGGAAAGAGGUUUCUUCUUGUCUUAGAUGAUGUGUGGGACGGAGAUUACAUUAAAUGGGAACCAUUCUACCAUUGCUUAAAGAAAGGUCUCCAUGGAAGUAAAAUUUUAAUUACGACACGUAACGAGUCAAUUGCGAGCAUGAUGAGAUCCACAGAUGUUAUCUCUAUCAAGGAAUUGGCUGAAGAAGAAUGUUGGGCGUUGUUUAAGCAGUUAGCAUUUUUCGGUCGAUCCACUGAGGAGUGUGAAAAAUUGGAACAAAUUGGUCAAAGAAUUGCAAGAAAGUGUAAAGGUUUACCUCUUGCUGCAAAGACAAUGGGAGGUCUCAUGAGCUCUAAAAAAACUGAAGAAGAGUGGAAAAGAAUUUUAAAUAGUGAUUUAUGGAAGGUAGAAGAGAUCGAGAAAGGUUUUCUAACCCCUUUGUGGUUGAGUUAUAACGAUUUGCCAUCUAGAGUAAAAAGAUGUUUCUCGUAUUGUGCUGUCUUUCCAAAAGACUACAAUAUAGAAAAAGACAAACUAAUUACUUUGUGGAUGGCUCAAGGUUAUCUUAGUGCAGAAGAAGAUGAGGAGUUGGAGACUAUAGGUGAAGAGUAUUUUGGCAUCUUAGCUUCUCGCUCUUUCUUUCAAGAGUUUGAGAAAAGUUAUGAUAAUCGUAUUAUAAAGUGCAAGAUGCAUGAUAUGGUACAUGAUUUGGCCCAAUUUGUAAGUGAAAAUGAAUGUUUGUCGUUGGAAAUUAAUGGUAGUGAGGAACUAAACGUCAAAAAAUCUCUUGAUGAGAAGGUUCGUCAUUUAAUGUUAAUCAUUGGUAAAGAGUCUACAUUUCCUAUCUCCACUUGUAGAACUAAAAGAAUUCGUAGCCUUUUAAUUGAAUGUCGUAGAUUUGAUCAUUCAUCAUUAAAUGGCGAGAUCCUAGAAGAAUUAUUUAGGGAAUUGACAAGUUUAAGGGCAUUAGAUUUUCCUAGCUUGUAUUUGCCUUCAGAGAUUCCAAGAAAUAUAAAAAAGCUAAUACAUUUAAGAUACCUUAAUUUGUCUGGUCAGAAAAUAGAGAAGCUACCGGAGGCAUUGUGCGAGCUAUAUAAUCUAGAAAAGUUAGAUAUUUGUAGUUGUUCGUGUCUUAAAGAAUUACCUGAAGGGAUUGGGAAGUUAAUAAACAUGAAGUAUUUACUAAAUAGAGAUACCGAUUCUGUAAGGUACAUGCCAGUAGGGAUUGCGAGAUUAAAGAGUCUUCGGACAUUGGAAGAGGUCCGUGUGAGUGGAAGAGGAUGUCUUGAUGGUAGGAAAGCAUGUAGGCUCGAAUCUCUUAAAAACUUGGAACACCUUCAAAUAUGUGGUAUACGUGGACUGGGUGAUGUAUCAGACGUGGGCGAGGCUAAGCGAUUAGAACUUGACAAAAAGAAAUACCUCUUCAGUUUGACCCUUAAGUUUGACGAGAAGGAGAAAAGAGGAGGAGAAAGGAGGAAGAACGAGGACGAUCAACUUCUUCUUGAAGCCCUGCGACCACCUCCGUAUUUAAAGGAAUUAGCGAUAUAAGGAGUUUAGAUACAGAGGCAACACUGUUUUCCCCAGCUGGAUGACGUCAUUAACCAAUCUAAGGAGUUUAGAUCUCAAUUGGUGCAAAAAUUGUGAGCAGCUGCCUCCUUUGGGAAAAUUGCCGUCCCUUGAAGAACUCAGAGUGGUUUACACGCCGAGUGUGAAAAGAUUGGGUGAUGAAUUUUUGGGGAUAGAAAGUGAUCAUCAUGACUCAUCGUCAUCUUCAUCAGUUACUAUUGCCUUCCCCAAAUUGAAAUCACUUUCAAUUGAGUCUAUGUUCGAAUUGGAGGAGUGGGAUUAUGGGAUUACAAGAACGGGAAACACCUUCAUCAACAUCAUGCCACGUCUUUCUUACUUGGAAAUUUAUUUAUGCCGCAAAUUAAAGGCACUGCCCGACCACAUUCAUCAAACGACAACAUUGAAGAAAUUGCGCAUUGAGGGGUGUGACCUUCUGGAAGAACGUUACCGCAAGGGGGAAGGAGAAGACUGGCCUAAGAUAUCACACAUUCCCAACCUCCAUUUUGGGCUUUGACAAGUAAUUUCUUCUCUUACUCUGAUUUGCUUUGUUGUUGUUUUUAAUCUAAUUAAGAAGCGUAAAUAGCAUUUUGAAUCAAACUCUAUAUCAGAAAUCUGCAAUACAUACUUUCUAAUAUUCUGAUUUUCAUAUCUUCUGAAUGUACGAUUUUUAAUUUGUGAGAUGGGUAACGUUACCGUAAAAGAUUAUUAAUGCAAUAUGAGUAAUUCUUUUGCAGGACAAGUGACCUACAUUUAGUUUGGCUUUGGAGUUGAAUAAUAACCUUUCGAGGUCCCGACAACCAAAAAACGAAGCUUAAUUUGCCACAGAUUGAACGUAUUGCCAUUAUUGACAAUUUUCUGCACAAGCGUGACUGAACUUAGGUUGAUGUCAAAAGAGGUAAAUUAUUGGCAUGCCUGACUAUUUUGACCAUUACAUGAUUCAUAAGUUUACAUUAAUUUUGAUUUUGAGUUGAGUGAUUAGAGGUUUUGAUGGCUGCCCAUGUUAUUUUCAAGAAACUAUUGAUGUAAGAAGCUGUGGUUCUUUUCAUCAGCUUGAACCUGAAACUGUCGCUAUGGAUAACUCAGGUUUUUGUUAUCAACUAUAUCAUCUUUUUCACUAUUUUGAAACUCUUAAGAUUAAACUUUAGUAAAGUUGUUUUAGUUAUCCAUGUAAUCAGGCUGAGGAUACUUAGCUGCCUAUUUAGGCAAAUGUCAGAAUUUAGUUUGUUCGCUGGGAACUGGUGUGGACUGGCAAAGGAUGAUGAGAUAGUUUUUUGAGUGAGUAAAUUUUGGGAGCUUGAGUGUAUUGGGAUUUGCAAUUACAAUCAUCCUCUGCCUCAGGUGAUUUCUUCUCCUGCCCUGUCGUUGUUUGUUCUCUAAUUCAAAAUUAUAAAAUAUUUAAUCAAAUUUUAUGCCAGGAAUAUGCAAAAGUUUCUAAUAUUUUAUUUCCAUCUGUUACAAGAUCAAACUGAAGCAGAACUCAAACAAAAGUAUGCUACUUCUUGCGGAAAUCUUGCCUUUGUUCAGAUUAUGAAACCAUUUCCAUGCAGCAAAUUCAUCCAAAAGUUUGAAUAAGUUUCAUGGUUGGACACUGUUGGCUUCUUUUUCUUCUGGGGUGCAUUUAGGUGCUAUCAAGUGACAGCUGUAAGUAUGAUUGCACUAAGCUGCCGCUGGGAAAUUUGAGGUUUUGAUGGCUGCCCAUGUUAUUUUCAAGAAACUAUUGAUGUAAGAAGCUGUGGUUCUUUUCAUCAGCUUGAACCUGAAACUGUCGCUAUGGAUAACUCAGGUUUUUGUUAUCAACUAUAUCAUCUUUUUCACUAUUUUGAAACUCUUAAGAUUAAACUUUAGUAAAGUUGUUUUAAUUAUCCAUGUAAUCAGGCUGAGGAUACUUAGCUGCCUAUUUAGGCAAAUGUCAGACUUUAGUUUGUUUGCUGGGAACUGGUGUGGUGACAGCGUCCUGGCAAAGGAUGAUGAGAUAGUUUUUUGAGUGAGUAAAUUUUGGGAGCUUGAGUGUAUUGGGAUUUGCAAUUACAAUCAUCCUCUGCCUCAGGUGAUUUCUUCUCCUGCCCUGUCGUUGUUUGUUCUCUAAUUCAAAAUUAUAAAAUAUUUAAUCAAAUUUUAUGCCAGGAAUAUGCAAAAGUUUCUAAUAUUUUAUUUCCAUCUGUUUGCCUUGAUAACUUUGCAGCAAAUGUACUAGUUAAAGAACAAAUCGAAACAGAGUUCAGUUAAAAGUUUCUUCUGCCGUCAUAUUUGAAAAAUGAACCCAUUUCCAGGAAGCAAUGGGCAGCAAAUUCAUAUAAAGCGUAGACAAUGAUGAGCAAACAGGUGAUUCACAAUUUCACUUUUUUUAAUGAAAUUAAUUGUUUGGUUGGAGCGGACAUUGUUAGAAGGCUAUUGAGCUAACCUAUGUCACUACUUGCCUAGAUUACAGGGGGUCAAAACUCAAAAGCGGCAUUGAAUUUUAAAAGGCAUCCAAUAAUUCUUGUGGCCAUAUAUCAAUUCAUGUAAGUUUGAAUGUAAUUAUUGGUGAAGGGGUUUCACUUCCCGUCUCUAAAUAAAAAUACUGAUUCUUUAAGGUACCUGCCACUAGGGAUUGCGAGAUUAAUGAGUCUUUGGACAUUGGAAGAGCUCCUUGUGAGUGGAGGAGGAGGUGUUGAUGGUAGCAAAGCAUGUGGGCAGUGGGCUUGAAUCUCUAAAAAACUUGGAACUCCUCCAAGCGUAAGUAUACGUAUACUGGGAAAUGUGUUAGAUGUGGAUGAGGCUAAGAGAUUAGAGCUUGACAAAAUGAAAUACCUCUUUCAUUGAGACUUAAAUUUGAUGGGGAAGAAGAAAAAGAAGAGGGAAGGAGGAAGAAUGAGGAUAAUCAACUUGUUCUUGAAGCCUUGCAACCACCUCUGAAUUUGAAGGAAUUAGAGAUUUGGUCAUACAGAGGCAACAUUGUUUCCCCCCGGAUGAUGCAAAAAUUGAAGGAAUUUACCAAUCUAAGGAGUUUGACACUCUUUAAAACUGCAAAAUUUGAGAGCAGUUGCCUCCUUUGGGAAAAUUGUGAUCCUUUGAAAAUCUCAGCAUAUUGUACAUGGAGAGUGUGAAAACGGUGGGUAAUGAAUUUCUGGGAAUAGAAAGUGAUCUUCAUGACUCAUCUUCAUCUUCAUUAGUUAUUAUUGCCUUCCCCAAAUUGAAAUCACUUUCAGUUGAGGGAUUGAUGGAAUUGGAGGAGUGGGAUUAUGGGAUUAAAAGAACAGGAAACACCUUCACCAACAUUAUGCCACGUCUUUCUUCCUUGGAAAUUAGUGUGGGGUUAUGGGAUCGCACAACGACGUUGAAGGUAUUGCAGAUUGUGGCAUGUGGUACUCUAAGAAGACGUUACAGACAGGGGAGAGCAGAAGACUGGCCUAACAUCUCUCACAUUCCAGACAUCAUGAUUGUGUGAAAAGAUGCCCUUGACAAAAUUCUCUAGGCGGCUACAUGGAGUACAAUCAUAAAAUGCUAAUGUGGCCACCCUGGUUCUUAAUUAAGGUUGUGAAAUAUUAUUGUAAAAGAUGAUUAAUUCAAUUUGAGUUAUUCGUUUGCUUUGAUAAUGAUAGUAAUUUUAUAUUUUGACAAUUUGCAAGGUGAGAAUGGUGCUGAUUGGUGAUACAGGAUAUGGUUCAAACACCAUUGAAUAAAGCUACGGACAUGGUGGCUCAACUUAGCUAGAUUCCUGUCAAAAUUGGUAAGUUGGCUUGUCAAUGUAUUGAUGCUUUUGUUUUCUCUCAACCCUAAUUACCUUACCUUCAUUUAGUUUGGCUUUGGAGUUGAGUAAUACCUUUUGAGGUUCUCAAACAGAGCAGGACAACCGAAAAAAAAUAGCUUAAUUUGCUGCAGAUCACGUGUUACCAAUUAUUUAAGGUAAUUCUCGUUUACUUGCUUCUACACUAUAGAGUACGUGUUCUGGCUGGUUUAUGUAAUUCAUCAAAUGUUAUUUCCUUAUUGUUCCAUUGAUAUAUUUGUUAGAAUGUGAAACCAUUUCCAGGCAGCAGUUGGCAGUGAAUUCAUGCAAAUGUUGAUGCCAUUCAUAGAUAUUGAAGACAAUGAUGAGCCAAAGGUGAUAAAUCAUUAAUGCAUAGUUACCAAAACCUCCAUCCUUCUCUCAAAAGAAGCAUUGCAGUGCUACAAUGCUGCUACUGGUAAAUUUAAAUCCCAUAUUAGACUUUCCUCACAUAAGAAGCUCUGCUGUACGGCCAAGGCGGAUGUACGGUACAGCAGACCUAAAUAGCAUAGUUUCAUCUGUGUUACCAUGUGAUGUACAUAAUUUCACAUUUGCCUCAGAUUAAGCUUAAUUUCCCACAGAAUAGAGCUGUCGCGACUGGACUUAGGUUGAUGUCCAAAGAGGUAAAUUAUUGGCAUGCCUAGAUAAUUUGGCCAUUUCCUAAUUCAUAAGUCUACAUUAAUUUUGAUUUUGAGUUGACUGAUUUCUUUUCAAGGUCUGCUUCCUUAACGGAGUGACCAAUGUUUUUCAACUAAAUUUAUCAUAUGAUGCAGGAAGCAGGGCAGGAUAUGAAAUGAGAAGCUCAUUGGUGGAAGUAUUGCCAGUAACAGAACCCAAAGAAAAUGAAACUAUUUCAAGGCAGCAGUUGGCAGUUGCAAGUGAAUGGAGGCCCUGACAAAAUUCUCAAGCGGUUGCAAUGCAAUUACGAUCAUCCUCAGCCUCAGGUAAUUUCUUCUCCUGCUCUGUUUUUAUUUGUUAUCUAAUUAAAAAGCAUAAAGUAUCUUGAAUCACUUUCUCUAUCUGGAAUAUAUGCAGCAGUUUCUAAAAUCUUCAUAUGAGUGUAAUGAUGGUAAUUUCUGUUUUUUGUCUGUCAUUGAAUGUUAGACAACUUUCAGUGAGACUCUUGAACCGAGACAUUUUUGACAACUGAAGGACAAUUGCUGAAGAGUGGGAAUGGUGCUAGAUUGGGGAAUAAAGACAACGGAGGUAAAUUAUUUGCAGUUUAUUCAGCAUUAUUUGCUUUGGACCAGCGCCUGAUUCACAAGUCUCCAUAAUUUGGCUUUUGACCAGUUGUUAAUAAAUUUUUUUAUUCCAUUGGUGCUAAAUGUACACGUGAAGCAGGCAGAGCAGGACUGUGGAAAUGAGAAGGUUUUUAGUGAAAGCUUAAACUCAGGUAAUUCUAAAAAGUACAUGUUUUGGCUGAUUUAUCUAAAUCAGGAAAUUUUAUUUCCAUCUGUUACAAGAUAAAACAGAAACAGAACACAAAGAAAAAUAUUCUACUUCUUGUGGCAAUCUUCCAGGAAGCAGUUGGCAGCAAAUUCAUAUGGAGUGUAGACAAUGAUGAGCAAAAAGGUGAUUCGCAAUUUCUUUUUUUUUUUUUUUAAGUGAAAUUAUUUGUUAGAUUGAAGCUGAUAUUGUAAGAAGGCCAUUGAGCUAACCUAUGUCGCCACUUGCCUAGAUUGCAGGGGGUCAAGACUCAAAAGAAGCACUGAAAUUUAAAAAGCAUGCAAUAGUUCUUUUGCCAUGUGUCAAUUAAUGCAAGUUUGAAUAAGUUUAUUGGCUGAACGAUGUUAGCUUCUUUUCCUUUCGUGCACUUUGGUAUGCUAUCAAGUGACAGCCGUAUGUAUGGCUUGCGUAUAGCUGCUGCUGGGAAAAUUGACGAUUUCAUGGCUGGCCGUGUUAUUGUCUUAAAUUAGUUGUGAUAAGCUGUUGCUUGGAGAUUCUGUUGCCAAGACUUUGCUCACAUCAGAAGCUGUGGAAUCUGAACCCUUCGUUAUGUAUCAUCUUUUUCAUGCAGGAAAAAGUUUCUUCGGCCACCAUAUUUGAAAAUGAAGCCAUUUCCAGGAAGCAGUUGGCAGCAAAUUCUUUGCCUUUCGUGCACUUUGGUAUGCUAUCAAGUGACAGCUUCUUUGUCUUAAAUUAGUUGUGAUAAGCUGUUGCUUGGAGAUUCUGUUGCCAAGACUUUGCUCACAUCAGAAGCUGUGGAAUCUGAACCCUUCGUUAUGUAUCAUCUUUUUCAUUGUUUUAAAACUCUCAGGAUUAAACUUGAGCGAAUUUGUUCGGUUGUCUAUAUAAUCAUGUAUUGAGUAACCUCUCAGGAUACUGAGCAGGCAAAUGUUAUAACUCGGUUUGUUAGCCAAAAACUUGUUGAAGAUUCUUGACAAAGCUGCAUCAAGUGAAUUGUCGGAGCUCUGAGGGUGAGAGAAAUUAGAGGGUGUAUAGGGAUUUGGAUUUGUUAGGAAGUUAUCAUUUUUAUUUUUUUCACAGAAAAUCUUCUGGUGGUGCUAUAUUUUCAAACGACAGUCCGAUUCAAAACUUGAUAUUCCAAUUAUAUUCAUAAGCUUCUACAGUUAUCUUCAAAAAGACAAAUGGAAGGCUUUGAACGGCUUGGGUCUGAGUAUUGUAGUUUGAUUUAUUUUGAUGAAAGUACCUUUUGACAUUGAGAUUCUUUCAUGAGUUAAACAUUCUUUUUAAAACCAACUUAUUAAAAAAAAAAAGUAACUAACAUAUAUUAUUUUGUUAGUGCUUUUUAAAUCAAAUAUAAAAAAGAGAACUGUAAUUCUUAGCAACCAAUUUUUCACUGAGUACACCUACAACAAACUAUUAAAAAAUAAAGUGAUAAAAAAUGCCUGAUUUUUCGUACUUUCUAAUUACUUUUGGUCCUAAAAUAUGGCGAUUUGUGUAAUAAUAAGCCCAUGUAUAUCUUUAUGCCAUUAGUUAGAUAAAUAUCUAUCAAGGAUAACUUAUUAAGCUAAAAAUAUUUGAAGGAUAAAAUGGUAAAACUAAAAGGGUGGAGUAAUAUAGUUAUUUAAGAUUACAUAGUAAGUCAACUAUAUUCGAGGGAUAAAAUAUUAAAACUUAAAUAGUGAUAUUAAAAAUAUCUCGGCUAUUAUACUAUUAAACCAUAUGCCGUAAUAAUUUUUUUUUUCAAACUUUAAAAAAUUCAGGAUUUUAAAUUAAAACAUGGAUUUCUUUAAGAUGCUAUAUGUGUUUUUACAAUAUUGAUAAUGGGAUUAGUGUGGACCCUUAGAUGAAAGAGUUUUAAUCUGAAUCAUUCAUUUAAUAUAAUAGAUAAUUAAAUAAUUAAUUAAAAUAUAGCAGGUAACUUAUAGGUUGCAGGUAAAAAAUUAAUUUUUUAAUUUUAAAUUAAAAUUAAUUUGGAACAAAACCAUCCACACCCCUAAGGUUUACUUAAAUGAUCAUAUAAAUCCCUUUAGUUUCUACAUAGUUAUACAAACCCUCUUAAUUUCAUAAAUUAUUAUUAUACUUUUAAUUAAAACAACCUAAAUGAAUAUAAAUAUAGUUACCCUCUUAAUUUCAUAAAUUAUUAUUAUUAUACUUUUAAUUAAAAUAACCUAAAUGAAUAUAAAUAUAGUAAUAGGAUAGAAAUAAUAAAUAAAUAUCAGAUGAAACAAAUAAAAUAUUACAAUAAAUACAAUUAAUUAAAUAACAUGUAGGAUGAAAAUUUUAUUCAUAUUAAGUUAUUAUUAGUCUAUCCCAACGGAUUUACUCAAAUAAAUUAAUCAAAAUUUAAUUUUAAGAUUGAUGUUAAUAUGGACAUAAUUAAAUAAGAUGUUGUAAUAUAUAUUACUUUGAAUGUUAAGUAUAAUCAUCUAAUAUUAUUAGUAUGUGAAAUAGAUUUUAAUAUUAUUAAAAGAAUAUGACAAUAUAUAAUUUUGACAUAAAUUUUUUAGUAUUCAUAAUAUUUUAUAAAUUUUAUCUUAUUUUAUAUAUUAUAUUUUUUAAUUUUAAUGUAUUAUAUAUGAUCAUUUAAGCAAAUUUUGGAGGUGCGGUGGUCUUUUCCCUAUUAAUUUUAUAGCAUAUUUAAAGUGUUAUAUCAUACAUCAUACAUCGCACUUUUGUUAAAGUGUUAUGUUAUUAAAAAUUAAACUUUGCAUUUAUAAUAUACUACCAUUUUAAUGUAAAGGUAAUAGAAUAUAUGAAGAUAUUUUUAAGUAGUCAAUUGUAGUUUUCUUUUACAAAAUAGCAGUAUAGAAACACACACACACACACACACACACACAUAUCAAGUACUUGUAUGUUUCCCUAACUUUUAUUAAUAGGAAGGAAAUUAAAUUCGUAAUUUUCCCAGUGAAUUAUGAAUUGAUAAAUGAAAUAUAAAUAUUAGUAAAAAUUAAUUUGUCGACUAAAUAAGUAAUUUAAGGUCAAAUGAGAUAUAUCACAUGAUAUUUGAUACAGUAGUCCAAUUUUCAACAUUUGCAUAUAGUUUCUAAGCUAGUAAUCUAAUAAAAUAUACCAAAUGAGAAAUUCAAGGCUAUUAUUUAUAUUUCACCAUUGGACAAACACCAUACAUUAGAAUAAAAAAAUCUCACAGUAGAGACGGCAUUUGUUUGCAUGUUUUGAAAAUAGAUUUUGAAAUUAGUUUAAUUACAUGAUAAUUAAAUUAUAUUAUAAAAUUAAGAAUAUGAUUUAAGUACUAUUUUAGCAAUUUUGAGUCUCACAUUGAGUAUUCAAGUUAAUUAAAUGUUGAAACUCUUUUCUAUUUGGCUUGAAAUCACUACUUAAUUAAAUUACAAAAAGUCGAUAAUGAAUGAUGUAGGACACAUAUGUAAAAUAAAUUUUAAAGUGUAAUUAAACAUUCCUAUCAAUAUUAGUUUCGUAUACAUGUUCAUAUAUUUUACUGAAACCAUAUAUAAUUAAAUUUUGUGUAAUUAAGUAAAAUAUAUUAUUCAAAUGAAUUUAUGAGAAUAUUUAAAAUUGUAGGGGUGGUCACUGAAAUUUGCCAAACUUGAGCCAACCAUGCAUGAUCCAAACAGUUUAUUUUAAUAAUUCUCAAUAUGUUAGUCUGUUUGACUGUUGGCAAAAUAAAUUCCUAUCAGCAAUGCAACACAAUUCAAAAUCAUAUCUGCAUACAACGAACAAUAUCUCAUCAAAGAUCAAAUUAUACAUUUUUUACACCAAAGCAUAAAUAUCUAAAUUAUCCCUCUUCAACUCACCAAGCUCAUACCUAACAACAGCAAGAUUAAAUGUCAUUUGAUCCAUCUUUUUUAUUAAGCUUUAUCAAUUCUUCUCAUGGUUGCAAUUUUGAAAGCUCGCUUCGCUAUUUCCAUUUGCUUUUAUGCUUUGUUUGAGCUCCAUCUUUUCUCUCCAUCUACAUUUUACACUGUAAAAAAAAUUUUAAAAAAAUUACAAAGCUUCUUAUACUAGAAUAUGAGCAACAAUAUAAAUAAUAAACAAUAAAGUUAUGAUAGCACAACAUACUCAUUAAAGUGCUUCUUUUUUUUUUUUCAACAAGAAAUUACUACUGAAUUAAAGAUGGCUUUGCAUUAAGGUUUGCCUUCAAUAACUCAACUCCCCACUUGGGUUUUGUCGUUUUCUUAAAAUCUCUGCUCAAUCAAUUUAAAGAUCCAUUUUUUUUUUCUUUCCAAAGAUCUAAAAGCAAUGUCUUUUAUUGGUACCCAACAAAAAUGCAAGGUCUGUGAGAAGACAGUUUGUCCAGUUGAGCAGUUAUCUGCUGAUGGGGUUGUUUAUCACAAGUCUUGCUUCAAGUGCUAUCACGGCAAAGGCGCACUCAAGCUAAGCAAUUACUCAUCCCUGGAAGGUGUUCUUUACUGUAAGCCUCACUUUGAGCAGCUUUUGAAGGAGUCGAGUAACUUCAACCAGAAUUUCCAAUUACCUGCAAAGUCAGCUGAGAAGUUAACUCCUGAGCUGAGAAGGUCGCCUAGCAAAGUUGCCAGCAUGUUCUCUGGGCCCAAUAAAAAUGUGCUUCUUGCAGUAAAACAGUGUGUCCGUGGGAGAAGGUAGCAGUGGAAAACCAAGCCUCUCACAAGACAUGUUUCAAGUGCUCACAUGGUGGUUAUUCCAUUAGCCCGUCAAAUUACGCAGCCCUAGAAGGCAUCUUGUAUUGCAAACAUAAUUUCUCCCAAUUGUUCAAGGAAAAAGGCAGCUACAACCACCUUAUAUCAAAUCUGCUCCCAUGAAGCGUGCUGCAGUCUCUGUUCAAGAAGCUUGAACACGUUAUGUUAUCUUCCAUAAAUCUUAUUUGGCGUGGGUUUUCUCUGGCUUGAGGGUGUGCUUUCUAUUUUGAUCCCUCUUGUUGUUUUUGCGGGGAACUACCAAACCUUCGGUUCCCUCUGCUUCUUUGGAUCAUCUUUGUUUGGACAAAUUUCAUGUAAUUAGAGAUACCGAUUUAUGGGAGGCAUAAUCCCAUGGUCGUAAAUUGACCAUUUUCUGGCAAUGUUCUUUUUAAAAAGAGAUGAGCAGUUGUUUAAAAAAAAAAAAAUUGCUUGCCUUCAUCAUUGUAUAUUACCAAACUGCUAUGUAUAGCUGCUAACUAUGAGCAUCCGAAAAUAUGGUGCAUCGUGAUUCAUGUAGUGCAAUAUGGCUACCAACGCAUCCUAAAUGGAGUAUUACUCAGUUAGUCAGCAAAAUAAGACAACAUAACUGAUAUUAAAAAAAAAAAAAACUACAUUAAUAAGUGGGCAAGAUCAUGCCAGUUUAACUUUUCGCGCGUCGCUGCUGGAGAUGAUCAAAUCGGGGCAUAGAAAAGGAGAAUGGAAUCAGAGGCUAAGAUUAAUAAGUGGGCUUCUGCUUGCUUUGCCCCUCUUUCUUAAACGAUUGGUAGACUGCUGCUUCCGCCGAUUAACCGGGUCUUCAACCACUGCUUUUACUGCCUGCCAUCUUGUUGUUUGUCGAAGGGAUGAAUUCGAGUCGAAAAGAGAAAGCGCGCUGAAAAAGAUAAAUCACUAGUGGUUAACUGCUGACUCAGCCAAGUGUUGGCUUCACUUGAUUCACCGAUUGAGGUUAUUUUGUCUUCUAUCUAAUGCAGCGAAGAAGCUUUGCUGCUUAACAUGCUGCAAUGCAACUUUAUCCUUUGAAGUUCACACUCCAGGGCUGCGCACUUUAUGUAAUCCUAUGAGUAAAAAGAAUUUGUUUUCAAAUGUGAAAAAAGAAAAUGUAAGGUAGUAACUAAAUAUAUUAUAGCAUCAAAGCAAGAUUUGAUAUGAAUUUAGUACAACAAAGAACAUCAAAUCUGUGAUUCCUUGUCUAAUGUCACCAUCGAGCAACAAAUUUAAAAGCCUACCUAUCAAAUACACGAGGCAAUAAACGGAGAAAAAGUUGAAUUACAAGAACAAGUUUACAAUUCUUGUCAAUGGUUAAUGAUUUGUGAACUGAGAUAUCAUUCAAGAAUCCAAUUUCAAUACAACAACCUAAAAGAUAAACAGAUGAUGAAUUUUAUGAGAUAAAGAAGGAGAUCGUGUUUUAUCGUAUCUCUAUUUUCUUUCUUUUUAAAUUUAUGAGAUAAAGCGGUUGGUCCAGUUACGGUGUUAUGCUAACGGGUUUAAAGGUUCCGAUCCAAUGAGUUAGGGUGGAAUAUGAAUAUAUAAAUUCCAUAGCAUGUAAGGACUAGGAUUUGUUUGUUCAUAUCAAGAAAAAAAAUCUGAAAAUUUGAUGAUCAGAAGAUAAAAACACUUAAACACGUUUAAGUAUCAAUAAAUACUUGCUGCUGUAGUUUGAAAAUAAAAUGAGUUUAUCUUGUUGCUGUUUGAUAAAAAUUUAUACUAUUUUUAUUAAUUUUGUCAAAAUCAAUAUUUAGACAUUAUAUUUACCAAGCAUUAUCAUUUUUUUAAUCUCAUAAUUAAUUAAAAUUUUCAUUUCAUUCAAUACAGUAAUUAAUUAGAAUUGUAGCAUAAGCCCAUUUUAAUUUUCUUUCUUUAGGCUAUAUACGCUACUUAUAAGAAAAACUUAUGGACCAUUGACCUAGGCUUAUACAAUAAGCCAAUUUAGAAAUUGUAGACUCACUCUAUGGAUUACUCAUGAGUUGUGGAUGAUGAGUUCUUCACUAACGAAGUGCAUUGGAUAUCAUAUAACGUAAAAACACACAUUGUCAUUAGUCUAUUGCAAGCAUUCCCAUUUGGCACCGAAUCUUUCUCAUUAGCCUAUUGCAAGCGAUCCCAGCCACUUGGAAUCAAAAUUUAGUGAAUUUACAUAUGUUGUCUCGAAGUGGUGUCUCUUAUGGUUGGGUGUUUUUAUAAAUUUCUUAAUUGCUUCGAAUACCAUGGCUGAUGCAACCGUUUCUACUAUCUUGGAGCAGCUGAUUUCCUUCGCUGCUGAAGAGAUAAAACAACAGGUGAUCGAAGUUACACCCCUCAUAUUACAAAUACUUCCAAUGAUUUUAAUUGGUUUUGUUUUUAUCAAAAACAUUAUAUAUUUUUUCUUUAUUUUAUUUAUCUGGUAAUUUUAGAUUUUGAAAUUUGAAUUGAAUUUAAUUAAAAGGUGAUGUAGUAACCACUUAUUUUUAUUUUUUUUUAUUUAUAUUCUCAAUAACUACUCAUAGUUUGGUAACUUACUAUAACUUCCAUAUCUAAGAAAUGAUCCAAACCCACAAUUUUAAUGAUAAGAUUGGUUGAAUUAAAUAUCACUUGGCCCACAUGAUUUGUUUUAAUUAUUUUAUAUUUUCAUUCAACCAAUGAAUUAGUGCC
rnacentral:lncRNA from 1 species